ensembl:lincRNA
GUUGGUUUCUGUUGAACUCAUCAAAUCAGAAAGUUGUGCAGGUCAAGAAGCGAUCUAUAUAAAAUGCAAAUGGUACAUAUGAGAUAAAGCCUAAGCACGAAAGCUGCAUAAAUUGGUAGCCCAAACCUCAGUGUUACCCCCUACAUUUCAUUACUGCCCUCCUCUCUCUCAGGUUACACCUGUGGCCACAUGGAGGAGUCCUAAAUGACCAACUGAAGGAGAAGCAAAAAACCGAAGCAUGGCUUAUAAUGGGCCUGCUCAGUGUUUAGGCGCCAGCCAAAAAUGGGCAGCAGCUACCUUGCAGCCACACUCCAGGGUGAACUUGCAAGACUUCAACAAAUGAUUUUAAUCUACUGGAUAUGCCCAUAGACUUUGCAGGAAUAACAGCUGGUUCUGGAAACUGUUGGAGAUGUGACAUAAAGAAAGAGAAACAAAUACAUGGGCUCGUAGAGGAGGAUGUGAGGAACCCAUCCUAUGCAGAAAGGUCCUUCUUGAAGAUAACCCUGGAUUUGCUCUGCCAUAUUCCAAAGAACUUGCUCCGAAGUCACCUCUUUAUAUUGUCCUCCCUGUUCUCCUCCAGGCCUCUGAUUCUUUGAUGUAGCUCAUUCUCAAACCAAAGAUCAUCAAGCCUCUUAGAGCAUACUCUUUAAUCCAGUUUUAUCUAGAAUGGGAUGGAGGUGAAUGAUUCUGAGCCUCCACCCAGGAAUCAUGACCUGUUAAAGUGUUUUCUUCCACAGGAAUCACAGUUUGCUUUCCAGAAGAUCCCCAGCCAGCUCCCAUAGUCAUCAGUUCACUCCAGUGAAGUUCAAGAUUAAGUGCUAAGAGUAGAAUCCCCUAGGCUCACCCCUGUAAUCCAACAACUUUGAGACGCCAAGGCGGGUGGAUCACUUGAGGUCAAGAGUUUGAGACUAGCCUGGCUUAUGUGGCGAAACCACAUCUCUACUAAAAAUGCAAAAAUUAGCCAGGUAUGGUGGUGCGUGCCUGUAAUCUCAGCUACUUGGGAGGCUGAGACAGUAGAAUUGCUUGAACCCUGGAGGCAGAGGCUGAGAUUGUGCCACUGCACUCCAGCCUGGGCAAAAGAGUGAGACUGUCUCAGAAAAACAAACAAAACAAAACAAAACAAAAACAGUAGAAUCCACAACAGUUAUCUUAGACCUAAGGAAUAAAAUUUCAUUUCUUCAUCAUGACAUUUAUGGCUUUAAGUACCUAGGAUAAAACAAUGUUCUCAACUCUUUCUUCCUCCUACCUUCCAUAUAAUUCCAUCCACUAUAAUCAAAUUUAUCUAAUGUCUGCUUAUUUGCUUACUCCUGCCUAAUGCCUGUAAUCAUGCUAUUCUUCCAUUUAAAAGUGAGAAACAAAUACAAUGAAGUACACAAAUAAACUACUCAAAUUUUCUUAUUUAUAUAUAAACCCAUUUACCCAAACCAAGGUCCAGAACAUUCUCAGCACUGCAUAUGGCACCACCUUUUCUGCCUUUCCUGUUACCACCUUCCCCAGAGAUAAUUACUUUUCUCAUGGAUAUUAAUAUAGCUAGUUUUUUUAUAGAAUAGUUUGACUUAAUUGUCUAAGAAGAAUGAGACAAUGAAAGGAAAGGACCAUAUUGAAAGGAAAGCAUAAAUUAGUUUUUUCUGACUGGAAACCUUUUUCAGUAGCCACUUCACUAUAUAACAAGACCCAUGAGCUGAGCCUGGGUUACCAUUUAGCUAUUAUAAUGUCCCAAAUUAAUAAAAACCGAAUUUAAAAUUUCACUGCUGCAGUCAUCUCUUCAUUAUUUUCCCAGUAGUAUCUGUGAAAUAGGUUGACCAACAUGUGACCCAAGAAUGAGAAGUUCCACACUGACUUUUUAAGAAACUAUCUUAUAAAAUGAUUCCCUGUAUUUCAUAUAAAGAAAUGAAGAUAUAAAGUCUGUUUGAAGAGAUUAAAUUUUUAAAUUUUAUAUUUUAAUGGUAUAUUUUUGUGUGCUUUUUAAUGAUGAUACAAGCCUAUAGGAUGCUGUUCUGACUUAUGUAACUCAGAUAGAGAAGUUCCAGAAUGGCAUUCCUGAAUUCUCCCCACAAAAAUAGCCCUCCUUUGAGCCACUGAUCAAGAGACUGAGAGUCUAACUGUUCAACCAGUUAUCAAUCUACUUAACCAUACUAUCACUGAGCUUAGGUUUCUCUGAUUUUUAAGGUUAUCACAUGAAACUUUAUUAAAAUCAAAUUAUUAUGUCCAUGACAUCUCUGACUGACCUAUGUAGUGAUUCACACAAAAAAUAGAAAAGAGAAAUGAGAUCAGUUUGAGAAAACAAUAGUUUUAUCAAAUUUCUACCAAACUUACAUCAUGUCUCCUGACAAUCAACAUAUUCACUGAGGAACAUCUAUCUGUAGGGCACCACACUAAGCAAGAAAUAGAAGACAACUCCAUUCUAAAGCCAAUUGUGAUUGUUAAUAGUGAAGAUACAAGUAUGAAAAUGAUUACCACCUCGAGUCAUGUCAAGACGAAGAUAUAUUUCUCUACAAAAGACUGUUAAGAGAGUAAAAUCUUAGGGCAACAGUGCUGAUGGCCCUUGGCAAGUAAAUAUGAUGCAAGGACAGAAGUUAGCAGUGUGAGAGGUAGAAGAGAGUCAUUUUGGCAAAGGUACCAGGAAGCUUCGGUUAUCCCUAACAACCAAAUAUUUAGAACUGAAAUGUGGCCAAGCUCAUAAAGCCUCUUCUCCUUCUGCCACCAAUUCUAUUGUUCCUGAAGCUGAGAGAGAGAGAGAGAAAGAGAGAGAGAGAGAGAAGGUGAUAGCCAAACAAAUGCUAUCAAAGUCCUGUGAUGAAAUACAAGGAGUUCUAACCCCUAGGGUCACCAGACAUGCCAGAAAAUAAUAUUCCCAAUGUUACAAGUGUUCUUUGCCCUUUGUCCCUUGACUGGGAAAGUAUAUUAGAAAUUAUAGUCAUAUUUUUCCUUUUGGUUGAUAGAAAGAAACUUAGGAGUCAUCCAAUUUCAGUUCAUAUCAAAUCAAUUCCUAUUAGUAGAAAAAUCCAACUCAGCAUUGCAUUUUCCUUGGCUUGAAAAAUGAUAUUCAGAAUUAUCUGGCUGGAAUUAAAGUUCAGCUUCUCUGCUUGUCUCUGUGUUGAGCUGCAGUUAGUCUUGAG